rnacentral:rRNA from 1 species
UACGUAGGGGGCUAGCGUUGUCCGGAUUUAUUGGGCGUAAAGAGCGAGUAGGCGGCCAGGUAGGUCUGGUGUGAAAACUCGAGGCUUAACCUCGAGAUGUCAUCGGAAACCAUCUGGCUAGAGUCCGGAAGAGGAGAGUGGAAUUCCUGGUGUAGCGGUGAAAUGCGCAGAUAUCAGGAAGAACACCAAUGGCGAAAGCAGCUCUCUGGGACGGUACUGACGCUGAGACGCGAAAGCGUGGGGAGCGAACAGG